rfam:Shinella sp. HZN7, complete genome.
GGAAUUCGGAACGACGCACUCCUCCUCCCAGUGUCGUUUCGAUACGAUUGGCAACACUCCUCCUCCCAGUUGCCAAUCAAUCUUAGUGACGCCCGCUGGACCUCCUCCCCCAGCGGGCGUUAUUA